rnacentral:misc_RNA from 1 species
CAGACUUGGAAACGGUUUGCGCAUAUGUUGGGGAUUCCCCCGGAAGAAGCAAAGGCAAGAGAAACUAUCAAAGGGAACACACAUGGGUGGUAUUGGACCUACCUCAAGAAGCAGUUAGACCUGUACAUCCGAGAUGUACAAUGGGAGCAAGCUUCAUUAGCACUAGCUUUGGGGAUCUAUGGCCUGAUCUUAUUCCCUGGGUCUUUGGGAAUUAUAACCUGCAGUGUCUCGGAGAUGUUCUGGGAGUAGAAAAGCAGAAGGUCAACUCAAUA